AGGGCUUAAGAACUGUCAGUAGCUGACAACAUUUCAGCCUGAUUAGCUCCUGGGGUGAGGAGAUGGGGAUAUGUUCAUAUGCUGCUCUGUGCUUCCUUGUGAACUGGCAACAUCUCAAGAUGUUUCUGAUGCUGGAGAAUCCCUCAAAGUGAGACAGAACUGAAAGCCCUGGUCCCAAGAUGAGCCAGAGAUGGGGUCUCACAAUGUUGCCCAGACUGGUCUGAAAUUCCUGGACUCAAGUGAUCUGCCCACCUUGGCCUCCUAAAAUGCUGGAAUUAUAGGCAUGAGUCUCCAUCCUGGCUGCACUACAGUAAAGUUUAGUCUUCAACCUCA
rnacentral:lncRNA from 10 species